GGUUGCGAUCAUAACAGCACUAAUGCACCGGAUCCCAUCAGAACUCCGCAGUUAAGCGUGCUUGGGCGAGAGUAGUACUAGGAUGGGUGACCCCCUGGGAAGUCCUCGUGUUGCAACCCC
rnacentral:rRNA from 1 species